rnacentral:rRNA from 1 species
AGGCUUUCGGGCUGAGUAGAGCGGCGGACGGGUGAGUAACGCGUAGGAAUCUACCUGGUAGUGGGGGACAACUUGGGGAAACUCAAGCUAAUACCGCAUACGCCCUAGGGGGGAGAGCGGGGGACCUUCGGGCCUCGCGCUAUCAGAUGAGCCUGCGUAGGAUUAGCUAGUUGGUGAGGUAAAGGCUCACCAAGGCGACGAUCCUUAGCUGGUCUGAGAGGAUGAUCAGCCACACUGGGACUGAGACACGGCCCAGACUCCUACGGGAGGCAGCAGUGGGGAAUAUUGCGCAAUGGGGGCAACCCUGACGCAGCCAUGCCGCGUGUGUGAAGAAGGCCUUCGGGUUGUAAAGCACUUUAAGUGGGGAGAAAGGCCCGUUGGUUAAUAGCCAGCGGGAUUGAUGUUACCCACAGAAUAAGCACCGGCUAACUCCGUGCCAGCAGCCGCGGUAAUACGGAGGGUGCGAGCGUUAAUCGGAAUUACUGGGCGUAAAGCGCGCGUAGGCGGUUUGUUAAGUCAGCUGUGAAAGCCCCGGGCUCAACCUGGGAACUGCAGUUGAUACUGGCCGACUGGAGUGCGAGAGAGGGAGGUAGAAUUCCAUGUGUAGCGGUGAAAUGCGUAGAUAUAUGGAGGAAUACCGGUGGCGAAGGCGGCCUCCUGGCUCGACACUGACGCUGAGGUGCGAAAGCGUGGGGAUCAAACAGGAUUAGAUACCCUGGUAGUCCACGCCGUAAACGAUGUCUACU